UACAGAGGUCUCAAGCGUUGUUCGGAUUCAUUGGGCGUAAAGGGUGCGUAGGUGGUCGGAUAAGUCAAAUGUGAAAUCCCGGAGCUCAACUCCGGAACUGCAUUCGAUACUGCCCGGCUCGAGGGUUGGAGAGGAGACUGGAAUUCACGGUGUAGCAGUGAAAUGCGUAGAUAUCGUGAGGAACACCCGUGGCGAAGGCGGGUCUCUGGACAACUCCUGACAGUGAGGCACGAAGGACAGGGGAGCAAACGGG
rnacentral:rRNA from 1 species